rnacentral:rRNA from 1 species
UACGUAGGGUGCAAGCGUUGUCCGGAAUUAUUGGGCGUAAAGCGCUCGUAGGCGGUCUGUCGCGUCGGCUGUGAAAACCCGGGGCUCAACCCCGGGCCUGCAGUCGAUACGGGCAGACUAGAGUGUGGUAGGGGAGACUGGAAUUCCUGGUGUAGCGGUGAAAUGCGCAGAUAUCAGGAGGAACACCGGUGGCGAAGGCGGGUCUCUGGGCCAUAACUGACGCUGAGGAGCGAAAGCGUGGGGAGCGAACAGG